CACUGGCAGCUCUAGUGGUAGCUGUUUUUAUUGGGCCUAAAGCGUUCGUAGCCGGUUUGAUAAGUCUCUGGUGAAAUCCUGUAGCUUAACUGUGGGAAUUGCUGGUGAUACUGUUGAACUUGAGGUCGGGAGAGGUUAGCGGUACUCCCAGGGUAGAGGUGAAAUUCUGUAAUCCUGGGAGGACCACCUGUGGCGAAGGCGGCUAACUGGAACGAACCUGACGGUGAGGGACGAAAGCUAGGGGUGCGAACCGGAUUAGAUACCCGCGUAGUUCCUGAGCGGG
rnacentral:rRNA from 1 species